GACGAACGCUGGCGGCGUGCCUAAUACAUGCAAGUCGAACGCUGAAGGAGGAGCUUGCUUCUCUGGAUGAGUUGCGAACGGGUGAGUAACGCGUAGGUAACCUGCCUGGUAGCGGGGGAUAACUAUUGGAAACGAUAGCUAAUACCGCAUAAGAGUAGAUGUUGCAUGACAUUUACUUAAAAGGUGCAAUUGCAUCACUACCAGAUGGACCUGCGUUGUAUUAGCUAGUUGGUGAGGUAACGGCUCACCAAGGCAACGAUACAUAGCCGACCUGAGAGGGUGAUCGGCCACACUGGGACUGAGACACGGCCCAGACUCCUACGGGAGGCAGCAGUAGGGAAUCUUCGGCAAUGGACGGAAGUCUGACCGAGCAACGCCGCGUGAGUGAAGAAGGUUUUCGGAUCGUAAAGCUCUGUUGUAAGAGAAGAACGAGUGUGAGAGUGGAAAGUUCACACUGUGACGGUAUCUGACCAGAAAGGGACGGCUAACUACGUG
rnacentral:rRNA from 1 species